CGGCCAUUCCUUAUAUUUAUUCCAAGUGUAAAAAAUGAUGAGCCAUAGGCACGAAUACGAAGUAGUACUUCCUGUCCCUCAUAUUCCCUGCCAUCAGUUUUAGUUUCUUUCUUUUUGUAGUCAACAUCAUGUUCAUCCAUGUGGGUCUGAAGAACAACAUCACCAGCCGCACGGAAGAUUUGAGCAUUUUUUCCCAGCUCUUUCUGAAUUUCCAGCAGACGAGUAUAUCUAUUACAACAUA
rnacentral:misc_RNA from 1 species